AACGAACGCUGGCGGCAGGCUUAACACAUGCAAGUCGAACGCCCCGCAAGGGGAGUGGCAGACGGGUGAGUAACGCGUGGGAACAUACCCUUUCCUGCGGAAUAGCUCCGGGAAACUGGAAUUAAUACCGCAUACGCCCUACGGGGGAAAGAUUUAUCGGGGAAGGAUUGGCCCGCGUUGGAUUAGCUAGUUGGUGGGGUAAAGGCCUACCAAGGCGACGAUCCAUAGCUGGUCUGAGAGGAUGAUCAGCCACAUUGGGACUGAGACACGGCCCAAACUCCUACGGGAGGCAGCAGUGGGGAAUAUUGGACAAUGGGCGCAAGCCUGAUCCAGCCAUGCCGCGUGAGUGAUGAAGGCCUUAGGGUUGUAAAGCUCUUUCACCGAUGAAGAUAAUGACGGUAGUCGGAGAAG
rnacentral:rRNA from 1 species